UUUAUACUCCCUCCGUCCGGAAUUACUUGGCGCAAAAAUGGAUGUAUCUAGAAUUAAAAUACAUCUAGAUACAUUCAUUUCUCGGACAAGUAUUUCCGAACGGAGGGAGUAUGUU
rfam:Hordeum vulgare subsp. vulgare, WGS project CAJW01000000 data, contig: morex_contig_63968